CUUUGACAUUUUGUUAAUUGAUUUUCUUAUAAAUUUGACAUUUCCCCAUAUAUAUGAGAUAUGAGGUCUUUUCCCAAGAAAAUCACUAUAAAAAUUUCUCCCCAGUUUUCUGCUUUCCUUCUAAUCUUGGCUACCUUGGUUUUAUUUGAACAAAACCUUUUAAAUUUAAUAUAAUCAAAAUUAUCCAUUUUAGCUCCCACAAUGUUCUCUAUGUCUUGUUUAUUCAUAAAUUCUUCUCUCAACCCUAAAUCCGAUAGGCAACAUGUUCCAUGCUUCUCAAUUUACUUAUGAUAUCUACCUUUAUGUCUAGGUAAUAUAUCCAUUAUGUCCUAAUUGUGGUAAAUGUUUUAAGGUAUUGGUCUAGACAUAAAAAAGAUAUUCAUCUAAGAUAUAUUGGCCAAUUCAUGAAAAAAACAAAACAAAAAAUUCUAAAGAUGGGAUAAUAUAUUUAAUUAUUUAUUUUUUCUUGGCUUCAUAACUUCCAGAUGUCAGAACCAUAUUUCUGUUACUGUCUCAUCCUGGAACUUCCUGUGGACUCAUGGAAAAUUCAACUAUUCCUGUGACCUUUCCACCUUGCAAUGUAUCUCUGCAAGAUUCCUGCUUAAGAACUCCUAUUUAGAAGACAUCUAGUAAGUCCCUUUGAACAUCUAUGGAGGCCCUAUGGGAGAACAUGGAUGAAAACUGCAAAAGGCUUCAGGAUCCAGUGGCAGGACCAAAAUCAAGGACAAAAAAGGGAAUUAUGUCUGAAACCAUGACCUUCACUCAAGUUUGUGCUCUACAACAUUUUUCGAACAGUUCAUAUGAAGUGUAAUAUGAUCCUUCUUCCAGACCCAUUUCAAAAUGCCUUUCAAAACUUGUGGAUCAUCAUAGUAUUUAGACUUGCACCUCCCCAGCUUUACUGUGAAGACAUCGUCUAUACAGGUGAAAAGAUAUGGUAGCAAUACGACGACGUUUUGAGCCUUGCUGACAUUAUAGCGUAUAGCCUUCCUGCAAAGGAGGCUGAGACUGGCUCAUCUCUUGAGUGUGCAGUAGUUGAGCUCCCGCUAGCUAAGCCAGUUAGAAGUCCUCACGAAUAGGGUUGUCUAAGGAGGGGCAAAUUGAUUCAGGUUGGAAAGCUUCCAUGUUGAUUAGGGUGGGUUUGGCUCAUGAGUAACCUCUGCAAUUCCAACCUGGCCAAGAUGGGAAGACCUAGCUUUAAAAACAAAGGUUUAAAACUUGUUUGAGAUGUAUAUGCUUUUCACAAAAGAUAGAGACCAGUCUUUAUUUUGGUGGGAGAUGUUUCUACCUUGCCUGGAAACCAUGAAUACCUGGUGUUGUUUCCCUUUGGCAGAGAGAAGGCAGCUGGAUUAUUUUGG
rnacentral:lncRNA from 1 species